UUUUCUAUUGUGUGUGUUUGCGCGCGCGCGCGCAUCCUGUUCAGGGCAGUCUCUUCUCUUUGGAAGAAUCUUCUGUGUGUCGGCUAGACGUUUCUGUGGAGGGAUAAGCUCCGUGUGUAUUGUUUAACAACUGCAAGUGAUCGCCCGUUGCAGUAUAUGAAGAGAAAUGUUCCCUUUAAAAGCGUAGCGCAGCGUAGUGUGCCCAGUAUAAAAUCUUGAGUGAUCUCGCCUCUUUUUUCGGCCGUUGAUUGCGAACAGAUACCACCCUGUAGCAGACAACGCUCUGGAGGACAAAUGACGAGAGUUUUGCUCAUCUCGCUAAAACGAAAGUCGUCAAUGGCACGACGCGCGUUUCUGUUCCUUUCAAUGCUUGGUAAUUUUCUCAACAAUUCUGUGUGGAUUUUGAAUCACCAAGCUAGCGAAAGCACCAUUUCUCUAUACGGCGCAGCAAUACGUUAGUCCAGCAUGUUCGCCCGUUGUGAAUUUCGCUCACGUGAAGAGUUUGCUCCACACACGAAAAUAGAAACAACGUCCACGCGUCCUCAUGGCUCAUUACGUAUUCGGAAGCAGUGCAUCAUGGGAAGCCUCUUCUCCGUUUCGUUUAAAUCGACGAGAUAACAGCCCAUAAAUGUUCUUUUCAAACAAUACGUCGUUCUUCUGUAGGCUGCUGACGCUUGGUUAGCCUUUUGACUAAGAUCAGGUCUACGGAAGCUCAAAUUGCUGUCACUGCUACAAGAUGAGGAGCUUGUCAUUGACUAUAGGGAGCAAUACGGCAAGUGGAGAACAGAUGCAUGUUCAGACUGCAAAGAAACACUACACAGGAAUUUUCACCUGGUCAGUAGGGGGUUUGAUUUCAGUAAAUACAUGUUAAAAAUGAAAUGGUGUGUGGGGGUGUUGUAGUCACAUAAACCAAUUCACUUUAAUCAAUUUGCCGCUAAGACCCCAGUUUACUAUCAGCGACCUUACACAACAUGACGGUCUUACAAUGAAACACGGUUUGUGCUGUCGUAGCAAUGGCAGUAAAACAUGUAUAAAAAUGGCAUCUCUAUUCUUUUUUUCUUUUUUUUCUGUUUCUGUCUUGAAUACAGAAAUGUGUAAAUGCCGUUUGUAGUUUUUCAAUGGUGCUGUUAAUUUAUUGUAUUAAUUUAUCUUCAAAACUAGACAAGCCUAGAUAUAUCAUAUUGGCCAUGCCACUUGAAUUUAGUGAAGAUAUAAAUGUAUAUUAAUGGAUAUAUGAACAUUUUUCUAAAGCAUUAAGAAUUUUAUAAAAUGCGUGUUUCUAAUGGUUCGAAAUAUACAGGUUUUAAGAGAUUUUUUUCAAUUUUAGUUACUGUGACUGAGAAUCUUUGUGUUUUGUCAUGCUAUUUCCAUUGGAAGAGAAUCUAUUAUCAUGAAAAAAGCAUUUUAGGAUCGCACAAGGUCUUUUCCAUGAAUGUUUUCUUGAUUUUUGUGAGAAAACAAUUAGUCAUGAAUUUGUUUAGUGAAUCGUGUUUUACCUCUCCUUUUUUUGCUUAAUAUACAGAUUUAUUCUCUUGAUUUUUUUUUUGAUUAUUUUUAUACUUUUUUUUUUUUUUUUUUAAGGUUUUCCAUUAUUCUUGUUGCUCUGUAAGUUUUUUUUUUUUAAAGGAGAGAUUCAAGAGUAAAUUGUCCCUUAAACUCCCAACUUGGGCUAUAUGUUAAUUCUUUAAUAACUAUAGCUCCAUUUUGUAUAAGAGCAAAAAGCCACUUUUGUAACUGAAAUUAGCAGCAAAAUGAAAUGUAAGCGCUUCUUAUUGCUGCAUUUUUGACCCCGUUUACCCUGCCCUUUACCUUGUAUUGUAGGGGGGAAAUAAAUUCAGAGCUGUUUUUUACAUUUAAGAAUUGACACAUUUAGUGGCGCUUGAUUUUGUUUUAAACAUUGUCUGUGGGAGAAAACAGUUGCAAUGACGACCGAGGCAUAAUCUUGGUUAUACAGAAUUUAUCUGCGGUUGGUUGUCAUAAACCAAAAAUUGAGAAGUUUUUGUUUGUUUGUUUUGUUCACAUCAAACUGUAAAUACUGUGGCAUUUUACUGGAAUGAGGAUAAGUGUGAAUCGAAUUUCCCAUUCGAUUGAUAAACUGUAAUUUCUUUUUAAUUUCUAGUCUUAAGCUUGAAUCAAUUAUUUCACAUAAUGAAAAUGUUGGUUACAAUUAUGAUAUAGAAGGUGCUGAGUUCUCUUUGAACUCCUCUUUCAUUUCUAAAGAAAAAUCUAUUUUUCCUGUUGCAAUAUAUCAUUUCUUCUUUUUGUGGUCAUUUAUUUAAAAUCUGCACUGUUUUAGUGAGUUCACACAGAAAGCAAACUGAGCCAGACAUGUCUUAAACACUUUGUGAAUUUGUGUGGCAUUACUAUGACCAUUAAUAUUAAAUGCUUUUGAUAAACA